GACAGAGGGGGCUAGCGUUGUUCGGAAUCACUGGGCGUAAAGGGCGCGUAGGCGGCUAUGUAAGUCAGAGGUGAAAACCUGGAGCUCAACUCCAGAAUUGCCUUUGAUACUGCUUAGCUAGAGGCCGAAAGAGGGUGGUGGAAUUCCUAGUGUAGAGGUGAAAUUCGUAGAUAUUAGGAGGAACACCGAUGGCGAAGGCAGCCACCUGGUUCGGAUCUGACGCUGAGGCGCGAAAGCGUGGGGAGCAAACAGG
rnacentral:rRNA from 1 species